GACGAACGCUGGCGGCGUGCUUAACACAUGCAAGUCGAACGGAAAGGCCCUGCUUUUGUGGGGUGCUCGAGUGGCGAACGGGUGAGUAACACGUGAGUAACCUGCCCUUGACUUUGGUAUAACUUCAGGAAACUGGGGCUAAUACCGGAUAGGAGCUCCUGCUGCAUGGUGGGGGUUUGAAAUUUUCGGCGGUUGGGGAUUGACUCGCGGGUUUUUAGCUUGUUGGUGGGGUAGUGGCUUACCCAGGCUUUGACGGGUAGCCGGCCUGAGAGGGGGACCGGCCACAUUGGGACUGAGAUACGGCCCAGACGCCUACGGGAGGCAGCAGGGGGGAAUAUUGCACAAUGGGAGGAAGCCGGAUGCAGCAACGCCGCGGGCGGGAUGACGGCCUUCGGGUUGUAAACCGCUUUCGCCUGUGACGAAGCGUGAGUGACGGUAAUGGGUAAAGAAGCACCGGCUAACUACGUG
rnacentral:rRNA from 1 species